CCUACGGGAGGCAGCAGUGAGGAAUAUUGGUCAAUGGACGAGAGUCUGAACCAGCCAAGUAGCGUGAAGGAUGACUGCCCUAUGGGUUGUAAACUUCUUUUAUAUGGGAAUAAAAUGUUCCACGUGUGGGAUUUUGUAUGUACCAUAUGAAUAAGGAUCGGCUAACUCCGUGCCAGCAGCCGCGGUAAUACGGAGGAUCCGAGCGUUAUCCGGAUUUAUUGGGUUUAAAGGGAGCGUAGGUGGAUUGUUAAGUCAGUUGUGAAAGUUUGCGGCUCAACCGUAAAAUUGCAGUUGAAACUGGCAGUCUUGAGUACAGUAGAGGUGGGCGGAAGUCGUGGGGUAGCGGUGAAAUGCUUAGAUAUCACGAAGAACUCCGAUUGCGAAGGCAGUUCACUGGACUGCAACUGACACUGAGGCUCGAAAGUGUGGGUAUCAAACAGGAUUAGAUACCCGGGUAGUC
rnacentral:rRNA from 1 species